rnacentral:rRNA from 1 species
CCUACGGGUGGCAGCAGUGGGGAAUAUUGCGCAAUGGGCGAAAGCCUGACGCAGCGACGCCGCGUGAGGGAUGAAGGUCUUCGGAUCGUAAACCUCUGUCAGCAGGGAAGAACGGUCACUGUGCUAAUCAGCAGUGACUUGACGGUACCUGCCCAGGAAGCACCGGCUAACUCCGUGCCAGCAGCCGCGGUAAUACGGAGGGUGCGAGCGUUAAUCGGAAUUACUGGGCGUAAAGCGCUCGUAGGCGGUAUGUCAAGUCAAGGGUGAAAUCCCCGGGCUCAACGGGGGAACUGCCUUUGAAACUGGGAAACUGGAGUGUGGGAGAGGAUAGUGGAAUUCCAGGUGUAGGAGUGAAAUCCGUAGAUAUCUGGAGGAACAUCAGUGGCGAAGGCGACUAUCUGGCACAUAACUGACGCUGAGGAGCGAAAGCGUGGGUAGCAAACAGGAUUAGAUACCCGGGUAGUC